CAAAAACAUGUCUUUUUGUAUUUAAUUUAAAGUCUAAUCUGCCCACUGAUUUUUAAUUAAAGGGCUGCAGUAAUUUGACUGUACAAAGGUAGCAUAAUCAUUAGUCUUUUAAUUGAAGACUUGUAUGAAAGAUUUGAUGAGAUAUAAACUGUCUCUUUAUUACAAUUAAAAUUUAAUUUUUUAGUUAAAAAGCUAAAAUAUUUUUAAAAGACGAGAAGACCCUAUAGAGUUUUAUAGUUUUUAUUAUAAAAUAUUUAUAUAAAAUUUUAAUGUUAUAUUAUAAAAAUUAUUUUGUUGGGGAGAUAAAAAAAUUAAAUAAACUUUUUUAAAUAUUUUCAUGAAUAAUUGAGUAAUUGAUCCAUAUUUAUUGAUUAAAAGAAAAAAUUACCUUAGGGAUAACAGCGUAAUAUUUUUUUUUAGUACAAAUAAGAAAAAAAGUUUGCGACCUCGAUGUUGGAUUAAGAUAAAAUUUAAAUGUAAAAGUUUAAAAUUUUGAUCUGUUCGAUCAUUAAAAUCUUACAUGAUCUGA
rnacentral:rRNA from 1 species